CCCCACUCUCUCACAUCUCUCCCUAGCCGCCCCAACUACUAGCACGGCCCUAACACCCCAAACCCUAGCCACCUUAUCUUCCUCCACCUGAAAACACCUCAAACCCUAGCCGCCCUAAAAUCAUUUUCCCACGAGGCCGCCGGAAAUCGCCUUAGGCGGCGGCCGUGGCUAACCACCUAAAAUAGCCCCAAACCUACACCAAUCAACUCCUCUUCUCCUCCUCUAGCUUACUCCAAAAACCUAAUCCGCAAAAAAAAAAAAACUUACAAAUAUAAACCUAAAAUAGGGUUGAAACCCUAGUGCCACUCUAAUCCUGCCGCGGGAAAUCACCUAAAUUGGCAGUGGAGCUCCAAAAUCCCUCAAACUCACACCAUACACUCUCCUCACCCCCUUGAACCUCAUUUUACCAACCAAAUCCCCAAAAACCCAACCAAAAUCCCUAAAUCUUAGAUCUAAAAAUCUUGAAACCCUAUAUCCGCCCCCUUUUCAAUUUUUUUUUAAUUCGUGUAAAGAUCCUUAUGCCAAUAUCUCCCACCAAGGAUC
rnacentral:lncRNA from 1 species